UACGGGGGGGGGCAAGCGUUGUUCGGAAUUACUGGGCGUAAAGGGCUCGUAGGCGGCCAACUAAGUCAGACGUGAAAUCCCUCGGCUUAACCGGGGAACUGCGUCUGAUACUGGAUGGCUUGAGGUUGGGAGAGGGAUGCGGAAUUCCAGGUGUAGCGGUGAAAUGCGUAGAUAUCUGGAGGAACACCGGUGGCGAAGGCGGCAUCCUGGACCAAUUCUGACGCUGAGGAGCGAAAGCCAGGGGAGCAAACGGGG
rnacentral:rRNA from 1 species